AAUCUAUUUGAGAGUAUAUGCAAUGAUGAUCCACCCUAAUCGAUUAUUAUUUUUCGAAGAUAUAACUGUACAAUUUGACAACGCUUAUAUAUAUAUCAUUUUAUGUAACCACAAAAGGUUAGUAAUCUUUUCAGAUUAGGUUGUUAAUAACAGAAAAUGACUGAUGCCGGUUAUUUUGAACAAAUUCAUAUUCCAACGGACGGUGUUUCUGACGACUGAUUUUGGUAAGGCAACUGACUGAUAUUUGACAAAUCUUCAGUGUUUUGAAGAAAGACAGAAAGACAUCUCUUUUCUUAAGAAAACAAACAUAAAAAACUGCUAAAAACUUUUUUAAAAGGUUUGUGACACAUAUUCAUUUGGGUUUUAUUUGAAAGAAAGAGUACACAAAGCAAAAACCUUCUUAUAACUUUCUUGAAGAAAUCACUUGUAUAUAUAUAUUGUUUAAUACUAGACAUGUUUUUUCACAGGCAUGAGAUAAAUCAUAUUUUUAAGAUCAAAACACCAAAAAUCUUAAAUUCUCGAUUAAUUAAUUGAUAGAUACAAAUAUUUUGUAUUUUAAAAAAACGUGAAAAAAUAAUUAUGCUUGUCGGUUAAAUGUAUUUGAAUUCUUUGUUCUCAAAAUCAAUAAAUACCUUAACACAAAAUCUAAAGAGAAAAUCACUGGUGGAACUGAAUAAGCUUAUCUUUUCACAUGCUACAGGUAUAUUAUCCAUACCAUGAAAAGGUGAAGAUGUGGUUUACAGAAUAAGGAACAAUGAAUUAAAAGUUGAAGAAUAUAUCAAAAUAGGAAAAAACAGUAUAUUAAAUAGAAUAAUGGGAUGCUCAAACAUAAAAAUUAAUAAUUGUAAAAAAUAAAAAAAAGAGAAAAAAUUGUUAACAUUUAAAUAAUAAAGAACUGAAGACCCCACAAGCCAGACCUAAUGGACUUUAAACUUCUUUGUUGAAACUAUAUUUAAACAUGUCAGUCAACCGUGAUGGUUACUAAUGAGGACAUAUUAUGUUUUGAAACAUGGCAGCAAUGGAGAAUUAUCAAGUUGUUUUGCUAGUGUCUGUAUUUGUUUUGAUUGGUGCAUUUUAUGGAAACACUGUUGAGCAAAGAAUAUUCCAAAUAAAAAAACGAUCUACUUAAACAUGAAAAGGAAAUAAAGGAAGAAACAAAAGUGAAAGUAGAAUUGGAAUCGUCGAAAAAGGAACUUGCACAAGUGAAAGUAGAUUUGGAGUCGACGAGAAAGGAACUUACAGAAGUGAAAGUAGAAUUGGAAUCGACGAAAAAGGAACUUAAACAAGUGAAAGUAGAAUUAGAUACGACGAAAAAUGAACUUACACAAGUGAAAGUAAAAUUGGAAUCGAUGAGAAAUGCACUUAAUAAUGUGAAAGUAGAAUUAGAUACGACGAGAGAGCAAAUUAAUAAACUUCGUAAAGAAAUGAUAGAAAAAGACAAUACCCGCAGGGAAGAAAUAAGUCAAAUUCGAGCAGACGUAAAUGCGUUACGCGAAGAACUCAAUAAGAUAAAAACAGAAAAAGAAGAACACGACAUAUCGUUCUCUGCGAGACUUGGAACAUCUAUUGCAGAUAUUAAUCCUUGGGAUACGGUUGUAUUUGAUCAAGUGAUUUCUAACAACGGUAACUCUUAUAACGCAGCUACAGGUAUCUUUACUGCUCCAAUAGCAGGUUCAUACCACUUCUCCUCUACAAUAAUGACGCUUCAUGGAUCGAUAACGGAGAUAUCACUUAAAGUAAACAAGGAGAAUAGUAUGUGGAUGUAUCCGUGUGCUUCCACUGAGAAAGGUAAUACUGCAACAAACAGCAUCAUUAUUAAACUAAAUAAGGACGAUAAAGUAAGACUCGUCAAGCAUGGUCCAUGGCAAGUGCGUCCGUUUUACAUCCAUGCUGAUUGGAGCACGUUCACUGGUUUCUUACUUUAGAUCAUAGAUAUACCGGUAUAUAUGUGAAGCAUUCUUAUAAACUUAUACAUUCAAUGAAAUAGUAACAUACUGUCUUCAGUUAAUACACAUAAUAGUUUAAUAAAAUUUGCACACUGCAUCAAUUUUUCAUGCCAUUUUCCUUAACAUAAAUUGAUGGUAGACAUAUCUUAAUUUAGGUGAAGAAAGAAAGAUCUAUCAUUUGCACAUAUUUCUUUAUAUUGUGUUAUAAGCUUAGUAUUCAUGCAAGUCCAACUGGCAGUUGAUUGAACAUCUCAUUCUUUUUUUAAAUCAAUACUUUUGUUAUGGCACCGAAAAAUGAAAAUCGGCCAACCUUUUUAACACCAUGUAUACCACAAUACCAUGCAAAAUUUGGAAAUUUUUUGGAAUUUUUUUCAAGCACUAUUAUAUUCAACGAUGUACAUGAUGUAAAUUAAAUUAACAAUGAAAAUAAUACAAUUACAAUAAA